AUAAUUACCAAGCAGGCGAUUUUCUCAAGGUGAGGCUCAUGUCCUGCACUCCAGGUGUGCUGACCCCUGCAAUUUCCCCAAAUGUAAGAAACUGGACUGCAUAAUUUGUGGGCUUUUUUGUUUGCUUCUUUGUUUUUUAUAU
rnacentral:snRNA from 9 species